UGCUAUGGGUUUUUUGUCAGAGCAAAUGCAUCAGCUCCCAUCUGAUCUUGGAAGCUAAGCAAGGUCAGACCGGGAUAGUACUGGGAUGGGAGACCACCAACAAAUACCUGGUGCUGUGUGAU
rnacentral:rRNA from 1 species